rnacentral:rRNA from 1 species
GUGGGGAAUAUUGCACAAUGGACGAAAGUCUGAUGUAGCAACGCCGCGUGGAGGAUGACACAUUUCGGUGCGUAAACUCCUUUUAUAUGAGAAGAUAAUGACGGUAUUAUAUGAAUAAGCACCGGCUAACUCCGUGCCAGCAGCCGCGGUAAUACGGGGGGUGCAAGCGUUACUCGGAAUCACUGGGCGUAAAGAGCAUGUAGGCGGAUUAAUAAGUUUGAAGUGAAAUCCUAUAGCUUAACUAUAGAACUGCUUUGAAAACUGUUAAUCUAGAAUGUGGGAGAGGUAGAUGGAAUUUCUGGUGUAGGGGUAAAAUCCGUAGAGAUCAGAAGGAAUACCGAUUGCGAAGGCGAUCUACUGGAACAUUAUUGACGCUGAGAUGCGAAAGCGUGGGGAGCAAACAGGAUUAGAAACCCCGGUAGUCC